rnacentral:lncRNA from 1 species
GGAACUUAGAAAUCAGCUGUCCCCUCAACCAGCCUCCUUGGGAUGGCGCCCUGUAGCUCUGUGCAGUCUCCAAAGGGAAUUCACAGGCUACGGACAAUGGUGAGCAGUGUGGAGUUUUCUGGUGAUUUUAUCAGGGAAAUAGAAGAGGCAACUUAACGUGAGACAUCAAUAGUAUGUCAUUUAAAAAUGCUCCUUGGAUAUGUUUGUUUUCCAAACCUCCUCCCUCCUAUCUGGGACCCGAGGUAGUUUUCCUCUCUGUGUGGCUUCCGCUGGGUUCUCAGCCUCCACUGUUAAUAAUGUAGCUACCGAGACCAGUCCCCCUUGAAGGCAAUGGUGAGUGACACAACAUGGCAACAAAAUAUUUCUGUUACACCAGCAAAAAUCCUUAAGGAGAGGUGACCGCUCCCAUGCACGUGGUUCUAUGCAGUCUUCUCUGCAGCCCUGGAGGGUAGGGUCACUCUCCACAGCUGAAGGGCAAGAGAACUAAAGUCUAGGAAGCUUUACUGUUAGCUUGCAAAAAAGAGGUGAAAUAGAACCCAAAUCAUCUGCCUCCACAUCAGGGUUAUUCUUGCACCACACAGGAAACCAGGCGCUUUUGGACACAGAACAUCUAGGAGGAGGGAAGCGACUGCUGCCCUUUCAUUAUCAUCCUAAUUACAUAAGAAUAAUAAAUUUUGACAAGAAUGAGUUCAGAGGUGAUGAUUUUAUCCUGUUCACUACUUUCUGGAAAGGGUGUGUUCUAAGAGAGGAAGUGACCAGGCUGAAGGACAUCAGGGACUCUUAGCUAAGAAAGAGUCUCACAUGGGGUCUUUUUCUACAACUGUUAUUUUGUUCAACGGAUUUGGUCAGCAGGGGUUCCCUUUGAUUAUGAAACAGAGGAAGAAGACAAUCUUUUCUUAACAAGAAUAUACAUGUGCCGUGAGAGAGAUGAAGCAGAAGAUUAAGCAAGAAACUCAGCUAUUUUAUUGCCCUAAGGCAUUACUCAUUUUCCUGACACAUUAUGUUUUUAAUUAAAAUUGCAUGUGAGUUAAUUAAAAUAUUCACUCGGGCACUUUUUUCCCUCCUCUUUCAUGGGUUCCUUUUUACUCUUUAAGCUUUUCGAUAAAACUCAGUUUCAUUUUAACUUUGCUGCCUUAAUCAGCUGCAACUCUAGCAGAGAAUCUGUAUACAAAACUACCUUUAAAAAAAUCCUAAUUUAAAAAUUUCAUCCUUAAGUGGCCAGGGGAAAGGGAGGUGGCCAGGGGUGGAAUCAUUAUGGUUUACAUAUUCCUUCCUGCUUACUUAAACAAAAACAUGAGAUUGGCGUUGAUAGAAAGCAUAUUAAAAAGGAGUCCUUUGAUUUUUCUUGUGACAGACAUGUUUAUCCCUCUACAAUCCUUUGUUCUGGAAAGAAUCAUCAUUGAUGGCACUUAUGGUUGCAUAUCCUCAGCUUUCCCUGUUUACAGCCGAUAGACUAGCCCUUGGUAGACAUUUAUCUAGUACAAUCUAUCCAUUGACAGGCCAGUAACUCUGACAGACAGAAUCCCUCUCAAAAAUGUUGAUAUAGAGACACAGUGGUCAUUGAUGGGGUCUCUGUUGGACUCAUGAGGACAAAUAGGCCAGAGCUGGAGGCCAGGUUGUUUCAUUUGCAAGCAGAGGAGGUUUAUUGAAAGGAAGAAAAGACAGAAAGAAUGAGAGUUUCGGCUCCCUGGCUUCUGAGCUAGGUAGGAGCGGAUCUUUGGUUCUGGUGUCCUGCUUUGCCACUUCCAUGAGGCCUGGCUGAGUCGUCACUGUGUCCUUGAGGUGUUUUGGGGGACUUUCUUUUUUUGUUUUACAAGAGGUUCCUCUUUUUCAGAGUUAGCUAAACUGAAUUUUGGAUCCUUGUAAACAAUGAGCUCUGACUGAAAAAUCCAUGAUGCUUCAAAAUGCUAUCUAUCCCUCAGCAGCCCUGAGAGAAAAUAUUUAUUUAUUUAUACCUUUUAUUUAUAUAUAUAUUUUUCUACUGUACAGCAUGGUGACCCAGUUACACUUACAUGUACACGUUCUUUUUUUCUCACAUUACAUGUUCCAUCAUAAGUGACUAGACAGAGUUCCCAGUGCUACACAGCAGGAUCCCAUUGCUAAUCCAUCCCGAAGGCAACAUUCUGCAUCUACUUACCCCAUAGAGAAAAUAUUUAAAAGCAAAAUCAAGAGUUCCCAUUGUGGUGCAGUGGAAAUGAAUCUGACUAGGAACCAUGAGGUUGUGGGUUUGAUCCCUGGCUUCGCUCAGUGGGUUAAGGAUCCGGCGUUGCCUCAACUGUGGUGUAGGUCAAAGGUGCGGCUUGGUCCCACAGCAAUGCGGAAUUCAAGCUGCAUCCACAAUCCACACGACAGCUCAUGGCAACUCCAGAUCCUCAACCCACCAAGCAAGGCCAGAGAUUGAACCUGCAUCCUAAUGGAUGCUAGUCAGAUUGUUUCUGCUGAGCCACAACGGGAACUGCUUUUUAAAUUAUUUUUUAUUUAUUUUAAUUUUUUGGCUGCACCUGCAACAUGCAAAAGUUCUCAGGCCAGGGAUCAUACCUGCACCACAACAGUGACUAGGUCAGAUCUUUAACCACUAUGCCACCAGGGAAUUCCAAGAGUAUUUUUUAAAAACAUCAGUCAAAUUUAUCAUUCAUGUGCUAAAAAUCCAGCAAGGACUCCCUAUUUUACUCACACUAGAAGCCUAAAUCCUCACAAUGGCUAACAAGAGCCUCAGAGAAGGCACAGUACCAGACACAGUCACUCUACUGCUCCUUCAGAACCAGACACAGUCACUCUACUGCUCCUUCAGAACCCCAAGAAUACUCCCUGUUCCUUCAGCUUUCCUCUGAGGUAUUCAUAUGAUCAAUCCUUCACCUCAUUUUAAUGAGGUUGACCUUGACCAUCUAUUUAAAAUUGCAACCUGCAUCCUGAUGCCUUGUAACCAGCUCUGUUUUGUUUUCUACAGUGCUUCUUAUCAUUUUCUAAUGCAUGAUUGACAUUUUUAUUAUUUGUUUAUUCUGCUUUUAUUCUAUUGAUUGUCUCUCACAUAUGCAAAUGUAAUCUCCCCCUAAAAUUAGGAGUUUCAUAUGGUUUUUGCAUUAAUAUUUUCUGUGCAUCUAGAACAGCUUGCCUAGCAUGUAGUAGGUGCACAGUCAGUAUUUGUUGAAUGGGUGAAUGAAGGCGCCUAAGCUAGGGAGAUUGAGGAGGCAAAGGUGACUAGGAUUUGCAUGGACAAGUAUAAGAUGAAGAGUUCCAAAAUCUGGAGUUCCUGUCGUGGCUCAGUGGUUAGCAAACCCGACUAGCAUCCAUGAGAAUGCAGGUUCGAUCCCUGGCCUCACUCUGUGGGUUAAGUAUCCAGCAUUGCCAUGAGCUGUGGUGUAGGUCACAGACACGGCUCAGAUCCCGCGUUGCUGUGGCUGUGGCAUAGGCCAGUGGCUAUAGUUCCAAUUGGACCUGUAGCUUGGGAACCUCCAUAUACCGUGAGUUCGGCCUUAAAAAGACAAAAAAAAAAAAA